CGGGCCAUGUGGCUUGUGGGCUUCUGGGUGUCCCCCACCUGCCCAAGCCAUAAGAUGUGGCAACAGACAUGCUUUUGGGUGCUAGGAAUGGAGACCAAUGAUUGAGCAUUCGAGACCAACAAGCUACUCACUGACCUACACCCCCAGCUCCUCAACCAGUUUUGGCUGGAAAGACUACUCUGCAUGGUGAGCUCCCUGGAUAUUCAAUCAAAA
rnacentral:lncRNA from 1 species